rnacentral:rRNA from 1 species
CUCAAAUUUGAAAUCUGGCACCUUCGGUGUCCGAGUUGUAAUUUGAAGAAGGUAACUUUGGAGUUGGCUCUUGUCUAUGUUCCUUGGAACAGGACGUCACAGAGGGUGAGAAUCCCGUGCGAUGAGAUGUCCAACUCUAUGUAAAGUGCUUUCGAAGAGUCGAGUUGUUUGGGAAUGCAGCUCUAAGUGGGUGGUAAAUUCCAUCUAAAGCUAAAUAUUGGCGAGAGACCGAUAGCGAACAAGUACAGUGAUGGAAAGAUGAAAAGAACUUUGAAAAGAGAGUGAAAAAGUACGUGAAAUUGUUGAAAGGGAAGGGUUUGAGAUCAGACUUGGUAUUUUGUAUGUCUUGCUUUCGGGUGGGGCCUCUGCAGUUUACUGGGCCAGCAUCGGUUUGGACGGUAGGAUAAUGACAUUGGAAUGUGGCACUACUUCGGUGGUGUGUUAUAGACUUUGUUGAUACUGCCUGUCUAGACCGAGGACUGCGUCUUUGACUAGGAUGCUGGCAUAAUGAUCCUAAACCGC